rnacentral:rRNA from 1 species
UACGGGGGGGGCAAGCGUUGUUCGGAAUUAUUGGGCGUAAAGGGCGCGUAGGCGGCGGGGUAAGUCUGGUGUGAAAUCUCGGAGCUCAACUCCGAAAUUGCACUGGAUACUGCUCUGCUAGAGGGCUGGAGAGGAGAUCGGAAUUCACGGUGUAGCAGUGAAAUGCGUAGAUAUCGUGAGGAAGACCAGUGGCGAAGGCGGAUCUCUGGACAGCUCCUGACGCUGAGGCGCGAAGGCUAGGGGAGCAAACGGG